rnacentral:rRNA from 1 species
UACGUAGGGGGCGAGCGUUGUCCGGAAUCAUUGGGCGUAAAGAGCGUGUCGGCGGCUUGGCAAGUCUGACGUGAAAGCCCGCGGCUCAACCGCGGAUUGUCGUUGGAAACUGCCUCGCUAGAGUCCGGAAGAGGAGAGCGGAAUUCCUGGUGUAGCGGUGGAAUGCGCAGAUAUCAGGAAGAACACCCGUGGCGAAGGCGGCUCUCUGGGACGGGACUGACGCUGAGACGCGAAAGCGUGGGGAGCGAACAGG